CGGCGAACGGGUGAGUAACACAUCGGAACGUACCCAGUUGUGGGGGAUAGCCCGGCGAAAGCCGGAUUAAUACCGCAUACGACCUGAGGGUGAAAGGGGGGGAUCGCAAGACCUCUCGCAGUUGGAGCGGCCGAUGGCGGAUUAGCUAGUUGGUGAGGUAAAGGCUCACCAAGGCGACGAUCCGUAGCUGGUCUGAGAGGACGACCAGCCACACUGGAACUGAGACACGGUCCAGACUCCUACGGGAGGCAGCAGUGGGGAAUUUUGGACAAUGGGGGCAACCCUGAUCCAGCCAUUCCGCGUGAGUGAAGAAGGCCUUCGGGUUGUAAAGCUCUUUCGGCAGGAACGAAACGGCAGGCUCUAACAUAGUCUGUCAAUGACGGUACCUGAAGAAGAAGCACCGGCUAACUACGUGCCAGCAGCCGCGGUAAUACGUAGGGUGCGAGCGUUAAUCGGAAUUACUGGGCGUAAAGCGUGCGCAGGCGGUUUCGUAAGACAGAUGUGAAAUCCCCGGGCUUAACCUGGGAACUGCGUUUGUGACUGCGAGACUCGAGUGUGGCAGAGGGGGGUGGAAUUCCACGUGUAGCAGUGAAAUGCGUAGAGAUGUGGAGGAACACCGAUGGCGAAGGCAGCCCCCUGGGUUAACACUGACGCUCAUGCACGAAAGCGUGGGGAGCAAACAGGAUUAGAUACCCUGGUAGUCCACGCCCUAAACGAUGCGAACUAGGUGUUGGAGAAGGAGACUUCUUUAGUACCGUAGCUAACGCGUGAAGUUCGCCGCCUGGGGAGUACGGUCGCAAGAUUAAAACUCAAAGGAAUUGACGGGGACCCGCACAAGCGGUGGAUGAUGUGGAUUAAUUCGAUGCAACGCGAAAAACCUUACCUACCCUUGACA
rnacentral:rRNA from 1 species